CACCGAGUGCGGAAACGGGGUUAGGCGUGAGGGCCCGCUGCCCAGCACCCUCUGCCCGUUCCGAUCCUCCCCUUUCGGCAGGCCCCUCCCCACUUCUGUGGCAGGCUGGGUGCCAGCGUCCUCCCCUGCGGAGGUGCUAUCCCCCCUGCUGGGUUCUCCACUGAGUUAAGGGAAAAAGGGGAGGGCAUGUCUUUCUCAGGGAGCACCCCUAAAGCACACCAUGACAGGUUGAAUUAGCAGCAUAAACUGACCACUUACUCCCCCUCCCCGGGCCUCGUUUCUAACAGGGACACACAACCACCCUCAGCUCUUGGAGUUCUGUUGGCCUGUCACAGGGGUUCAGGGAUCCCCAAUUCCUCGACUGAGGAAGGCAAGGAGGGAAAGCAUAAAGGAGGGGCAACAAGAGGAAUCAACCCUCUGGACUCAGCCAUCCACGGCUGUGAGGACAGCUGGUCCUGUCUUCCCUGGACUGUCCCCUCCAGCCAUCAUCAAGCCUGAGAUAACACGAAGAGGCUGAGAUUAUAGCAGGAGGAGCUUCAGUAACUGAACGCCACCGCCCAGGGAGCCCUCUCUGCAGGGCAUGCUGACUCCCCCUAGCAAGGUCGGAACCCCUGUACGCUGGGUGGCAGGGCCCUCCAGCGUCAACCCAAACUUCCUGCUCAGUGCUGCUGUCUCCAGGUGCCAAGCCAGCCUGGGACAGAAGCCUCACUCAGUCAGGGUCCCUGACAAGGAGGAUGUCCCCACUCCCGCCCCAUGAGAAAGUCUGGGGUCUUUUACGAUUGCCUCUACCCCAGAGGCCCGACGCCCACCAGUACUGGUCCACAGCAGAUGGAGAACUGCUUUACGUGCAUUUACACUUGAACGCAGGACAGUGGGUGCGGGCCAUACUAGGUGUCGCCUAGUUGGCCCCGUAGGUAUCAUCAAGACUAGGAAGCUAAUCACUGAAUAUUAUGAGAAUGAAAAUAGAGUAAGUGCUAUUUUUGCUUAAAUGUGUAUAUAUUUUAAUAUAUGAAUAUAGUAGAAAAAAGUCUUAACAUGCUAAAAUGUUAAAAAACCAUUAGAGCUUGGUGGUUGAAUUUUGCUUGACUUAGAAGAAUUUUUACCUUGUUUUUCUGUAUUUUGUCAUUUUCUCACAGUAAAUGUAUUCUACUGUACUUUUCUUAAAUAAAGAACAAUAAAGAGUGUGGAGGAAGCAACAAGGGGAACCUCUCACCUCUGCCCUGAGAUAAGUGGAACGCAGGCGCAGUGGAAACCGUGAGAGCUGGGGGACAGAACCCAUGCCAUCUCGGCCCACAAACCACUACAGAAAAGCACACGGGCAGAGCCUGGCCUGUGUCCGAGACCUUUAGUUUUUCUUUUCCUUUUUUUAUGAGGGAAAGUCCAUUUUGAAAGUCACAGAGGUGGAAGAAGUAAUCCACAGAAGACUGGGCUCAGGAAGCGAGUUCCAGAGGCAGGAGGAGGGCCCUUGGAGUGCAGGAGAGAGGAAGAGCGAGCGAGGAGCCAGAGGGCACUCUGAGCAGCACCCGGAGUACAGGGGGACCCUGAAAUAACAAGUAACUGUACAGCAAACACCCCAGAACACGUGACUGUACGGCGCCACAAUCAUGGGGUUGUUACUCCGCUGGACUCAAACCGCGGGGAGGCUGGGCUGGGCUCUGAGUGAGCCUUCCGUUGGAAGCGACAGCACAGUUGACUGAAGUGAGCUGCAGCCUGCUGGCGCCCCCCGUCGCACCGUUUCAGUGGGGUCUCAUUUCCCUCCCCAGCUGGCUCUCGAGAUACUCCUCUAGGCUGCAAACCAGCAUUUGUAAGUACUUCUCCCGGGACCACUCAGAGUUUUGUGGCCCCUGCGCUGCGGACCUGGGCAGCCAAAACCGAGACCCACCGAUCUCCCUGCCAUGGUACCCUGAGAUGAACAGAGCUGCACCCUCAAACUGACCACGCGAGGGAAACGAGAAGCAUUUCCCGUUGGUGUUUGGAAAUGAAAAGUGGCUAAGAAAUGGCGCAGGUACGGAACUACAAGAUUGUGAUCAAAGACUUUAGAACCUCAUUAACUCGGAAGCUUAUAUUUAAACUGUGUACUCUGGACCUACAUUGUGCUGAGCUUCUCCUUUGCGUGGAGGCUGCAAAGGGACUCUCAGGCAGUUAUGUACCGUAACUGUGUUACACCACUUCCACCGUUUUAACUGGGCCAUUUGCCCUUUCCAGCAGCUUAUGUCCAGUCACUGAGACCGACAUUCAGCAACAACACUGGUCACCUCCUCAUUACCAAAGCCAAGAGACCCUCUUCAGUUCUUGACCUUCGACCAUUCCUGCCUCCUCGAAAACACCAUGGGCUCUGCCUGGUGCGGCUCAGUGGACUGAGUGCCGGCCUGCAGACCGAAAAGUCACCAGUUCGAUUCCCAGUCAGGGCACGUGCCUGGGCUGCGGCAGGAACGCGAGAGGCGCCCAAACUGUGUUUCUCUCACACAUCGAUGCUCCUCUCCCUCUCUUUUCCCUUUGUUCCCCUCUCUCUAAAAAUAA